CCAGUGUAGAAACAAACGGCAAUUUCAAAUUUUUUGUUCGAAGAUUUUUCGAUUUUUUUUUUCAUUUCAAACUUUAAAGCACAGAAGUCGAGAAAGAAGUUGGGUUCACCUUUUCUAAAAGGAAAAUCUUUUCAAAAAUGGCUUCACAGAACGUAGACCCGACAAGAGUUAAUCCCAACACGAGAAAACAGAGAGAUAAGAGCGAGCUUUUGCCCGGCGGUUUGCAUUCUGUCACUCAAAGGUCGGUUGAAAAUAUAUGGUGACAACAUUGACAUUCUACAGUAUUGAAUAGUUCAAGUGUUUUAUAUACGAGUACAGUAAAAUAUAUCCGUACCUUUUAAAUCGUUUUUACUUAAUAGCAUAGAACCAGUAAGAUUUUCUUGUGUUUUUUUAGACUUCAGCAAGACUUGAUGACCUUAAUGGUAAG
rnacentral:lncRNA from 1 species